UUAUAGGUCGUCCUCGUAUUACGGGAUCUCACUUAUCGUUGUUGGAAUUUUUUUGGCCCAAGAAGGUGUGGUUUUUUUUAUUAAAGGCGUUAAAAUCAUUACAAAUUUGCAAGAUCUUUGAUACUAAGAUAAGUUUUGGUGGGUUCACCAACUCGAUUAAAAAAUAUUAGCUCUUUAAAACUUUGGAUACACCAAGAAACCCCAUAGUUGGUGAUCCCAUGGACUCAUUGGCGGAGCAUUAUUCAUAGCUGCAUAAAUCUUCUUUUCCAGUACCCACAAUUCAACAAAAGGGACAAAAGGGCAAAAUUGUCAUUUUGGUCAUAAUUGAUGCCUUGAAGUGUUAGGGCCCUGGGACACUCAUUAAUUUUCCAGUGAGCAAUUAUCUAAUGAAAUUUUACACUAUGUAUUUUUUUUUUAUCCGAAACAUAAAUAAACUAUUGAGUUUUUUCCCUCGCUAUCUCCCUACACUAAAUUAAUAUACAUAUUGUUGGUGCCAGGUCACAGAUUAUACACGAGACCUUGAAGAGAUGCAAAAUCUAUCAAGAGAGGAUUACCUUGCAUCACUCAGAAGAAGAGGUAGUGGGUUCUUAAGGGGAACCUCUAAAUGUCAUGGAAUUUCCAGGUAUGCUUAUAAUGAAGGAAUCUAAUUUGUCAACCAAAUUCUAUGACUAUGAGUGGAAAUGGAAACAUCUUAUAUAUUCAUCAUGUAAAUACCUGAAAUACUACCACUAUAUAGUUAAUAUGUUUUCUGAUCUAUAACAUGCUUUGGCUUUUUGGUAUUCUUAUAUAAAUCAAAUACUAGAUGGGACUCACCUUUGGGCCGUAUUUCUGGAGGUGAUUACAACAACUGCAUGCAUCAUGGUGAUGAUGCAACAACAGAGAGCGAAUGUGUUGGUGGAUUUUGCAUGGAUAGGAAAAUCGAUCUUACACCAUUGGGACAUUAAUCCUCAAAAUUUAUCAAGCUUUUACAAUGAAAUACCCUUCAAUCCCUGCAAGGCGGGGGGUUCCUUCCCUAGUUUCCAUAAAAUUUAAUGAAUUGCCAUAAUAUUAUUCACUAUUAUGGCUAGUAUGGGACUAACUCCUGUGGUAGAAAU